rnacentral:misc_RNA from 1 species
GAUGAAGAACGUAGCGAAAUGCGAUACUUGGUGUGAAUUGCAGAAUCCCGUGAACCAUCGAGUCUUUGAACGCAAGUUGCGCCCGAAGCCAUUAGGCCGAGGGCACGCCUGCCUGGGCGUCACACGUCGUUGCCCCCCCAUCUACUCCUUCGGGAUUGCGGGGGGCGGAUGAUGGCCUCCCGUGCGCCUCGCCGCGCGGUUGGCAUAAAUGCCAAGUCCUCGGCGACGCACGCCACGACAAUCGGUGGUUGCGAAACCUCGGUUGCCCGUCGUGUGCGGUCGUCGCGCAUCGAGGGCUCGAAAAAAUUGCCGGGUUCCGGCUCGGCUUUCAACGCGAGCCCAGGUCAGGCGGGGUUACCCGCUGAAUUUAAGCAUAUCAAUAAGCGGAGGA